UGACAUGAACUCAUAUCACAAAGCCUAUGU
rnacentral:piRNA from 1 species